GGGGGCGUAAUGGUCUCGACGGGGAACGUAUUUGCAUGGGAAGCGAGCCGGGUUGCCGCCAGGACCGUAAAAAGGGCGGAAGGCUUUAAUUGCCGAAGAUAACUACGCUUUAGCUGCUUAAUUGUCGCUAACCUCCUACCUUCUGUGCUCUCGGUGAGGGAUUUAGGGGGUCAUUAAUAGAGAGCUAGCUUCUCACCAAUUCUCGGAGGUCUGAAGCGAACUUUAUCGAGAUAGCCUGACCAACGCUUUGUCUGUCGUGCGGAAGGAAGGCGAAAUCUAAAACGAGAGACUACGCUCGUAGAUGCCUAUGUGGGUAUUUCUUCGGACGCUGGGUUCGACUCCCGCCGCCUCCACCA
rnacentral:tmRNA from 1 species